UACAGAGGGUGCAAGCGUUGUUCGGAAUUAUUGGGCGUAAAGGGCGCGCAGGCGGCUCUGAAAGUCAGAUGUGAAAGCCCCGGGCUUAACCUGGGAAUUGCAUUUGAUACUCUGGAGCUUGAGUAUGGGAGAGGUGAGCGGAAUUUCCGGUGUAGCGGUGAAAUGCGUAGAUAUCGGAAGGAACACCUGUGGCGAAAGCGGCUCACUGGACCAUUACUGACGCUGAGGCACGAAAGCUAGGGGAGCAAACAGG
rnacentral:rRNA from 1 species